rnacentral:rRNA from 1 species
GUGGGGAAUAUUGGACAAUGGGCGAAAGCCUGAUCCAGCCAUGCCGCGUGUGUGAAGAAGGUCUUCGGAUUGUAAAGCACUUUAAGUUGGGAGGAAGGGCAGUAAGUUAAUACCUUGCUGUUUUGACGUUACCAACAGAAUAAGCACCGGCUAACUUCGUGCCAGCAGCCGCGGUAAUACGAAGGGUGCAAGCGUUAAUCGGAAUUACUGGGCGUAAAGCGCGCGUAGGUGGUUCAGCAAGUUGAAGGUGAAAUCCCCGGGCUCAACCUGGGAACUGCCUCCAAAACUACUGAGCUAGAGUACGGUAGAGGGUAGUGGAAGUUCCUGUGUAGCGGUGAAAUGCGUAGAUAUAGGAAGGAACACCAGUGGCGAAGGCGACUACCUGGACUGAUACUGACACUGAGGUGCGAAAGCGUGGGGAGCAAACAGGAUUAGAUACCCGAGUAGUCC